AAAACCAUCAUGAAAUGCUCAUACUUACAAAGAAAUGAAUGAAAAUUUUUGUGCUUAUUCUGGACAUGUUAAUGGUUAUUUUCAUGUAGAGUUUGUGGUUUUUGGAUACCUGGUUGAGGAGAUAUAAAUUUUUGAAUUAAGGUGUGACAAUUUGUGUCACACCAAGCUAGGUCAACUUCAUGAUUUUAUUUAAAAUUCUUAGGGAUGUUGAUUUGAGCUGAAAUUUUGUAUGGUU
rnacentral:lncRNA from 1 species